rnacentral:rRNA from 1 species
GGCUCAGGAUGAACGCUAGCUACAGGCUUAACACAUGCAAGUCGAGGGGCAGCAUUGGGAUAGCUUGCUAUUCAGAUGGCGACCGGCGCACGGGUGAGUAACGCGUAUCCAACCUCCUGCCAGUAGGGAACAGCCCGGCGAAAGUCGGAUUAAUGCCCUAUGUUCUUCAAUGCGGACAUCUAAGUUGAAGGAAAGAUUCAUCGCUGGCAGAUGGGGAUGCGUCCGAUUAGCUUGCCGGCGGGGUAACGGCCCACCGGGGCGACGAUCGGUAGGGGUUCUGAGAGGAAGGUCCCCCACACUGGUACUGAGACACGGACCAGACUCCUACGGGAGGCAGCAGUGAGGAAUAUUGGUCAAUGGGCGUAAGCCUGAACCAGCCAAGUAGCGUGCAAGGAUGACGGCCCUACGGGUUGUAAACUGCUUUUAUGCGGGGAUAAAGUGCGGCACGUGUGCCGCUUUGCAGGUACCGCAUGAAUAAGGACCGGCUAAUUCCGUGCCAGCCGCAGC